UACGAAGGACCCGAGCGUUAUCCGGAUUUAUUGGGCGUAAAGCGCGCGUAGGCGGCCGAUCGCGUCGGAUGUGAAAGCUCGGGGCUCAACCCUGAGAGGCCAUUCGAUACGGGUCGGCUAGAGGCAGGUAGGGGAAGGUGGAAUUCCUGGUGUAGCGGUGAAAUGCGCAGAUAUCAGGAGGAACACCGGUGGCGAAGGCGGCCUUCUGGGCCUGUCCUGACGCUGAGGCACGAAAGCGUGGGGAGCAAACAGG
rnacentral:rRNA from 1 species